UGUCAAAUAUUUCCUCAGCAUCUAA
rnacentral:misc_RNA from 1 species